rnacentral:rRNA from 1 species
GACGAACGCUGGCGGCGUGCUUAACACAUGCAAGUCGAACGGAAAGGCCCUGCUUUUGUGGGGUGCUCGAGUGGCGAACGGGUGAGAAAAACGCGAGUAACCUGUCCUUGACUUUGGGAUAACUUCAGGAAACUGGGGCUAAUACCGGAUAGGAGCUCUUGCUGCACGGUGGGGGUUGGAAAGUUUCGGCGGUUGGGGAUGGACUCGCGGCUUAUCAGCUUGUUGGUGGGGUAGUGGCUUACCAAGGCUUUGACGGGUAGCCGGCCUGAGAGGGUGACCGGCCACAUUGGGACUGAGAUACGGCCCAGACUCCUACGGGAGGCAGCAGUGGGGAAUAUUGCACAAUGGGCGGAAGCCUGAUGCAGCAACGCCGCGUGCGGGAUGACGGCCUUCGGGUUGUAAACCGCUUUCGCCUGUGACGAAGCGUGAGUGACGGUAAUGGGUAAAGAAGCACCGGCUAACUACGUG